rnacentral:rRNA from 1 species
UCAGACGAUGCGUCAUGCAUAUCAAUAAGCGGAGGAAAAGAAACUAACAAGGAUUCCCCUAGUAACGGCGAGUGAAGCGGGAAGAGCUCAAAUUUGAAAUCUUAAAGGGUUUCCCUUUACGAAUUGUAGUUUAAAGAAGUGUUUUCUGUUGAGGUUUUGGUAAAAGUUCUUUGGAAUAGGACAUCAUAGAGGGUGAGAAUCCCGUAUUUGACCUUUACUUUCAACUUUGUGAUACACUUUCAAAGAGUCAGAUUGUUUGGGAAUGCAGUCCAAAAUGGGUGGUAAAUUUCAUCUAAAGCUAAAUAUUGGCGAGAGACCGAUAGCGAACAAGUACCGUGAGGGAAAGAUGAAAAGAACUUUGAAAAGAGAGUUAAACAGUACGUGAAAUUGUCAAAAGGGAAGCGUUUGACACCAGUGUUGUUUUUCUGAAAAUCAAUUAAAGAACUGUUUAUGCUAAGUUGUUUAGACUCUAUCAGCUAACUGUUUAGUUUUGAGCUUUUCUUUAAUGCACUUUUCAGUUAACAAGUCAACAUCAAUUUCUUUUGCUGUAAAAAAGCUUGAGGAAGGUGGCUUGAGAUUCGUCUUAAGUGUUUAUAGCCUCUUGCCUAUGCAGUCGGAGAGAUUGAGGUCUGCAGCGUAGAUCCUUCGGGGCUAAAUGCAUUUGUGCUAAGUUAUAGCAUUUUAUAGACAACUUGUUGACUAUGAUUUGUCUUGUAGCAUUACUCGCUUAUGUUAUUUUACCUACGCUUAGGAUGUUGAGCGCAUGUCUCUCUCU